rnacentral:rRNA from 1 species
GACGAACGCUGGCGGCGUGCCUAAUACAUGCAAGUCGAGCGCAGCGGGGACGGGGGAGUAACAAGUGGAUAACCUCCUUUAAGACUGGCAUAAAUUCGGGAAACCGGAGCUAAACCGGAUAUUCGUAGAUGGAUCCGCGCUGCAUUAGCUAGUUGGUAACGUAACGGCUUACCAAGGCAACGAUGUAUAGCCGACCUGAGAGGGUGAUCGGCCACACUGGCACGGAGACACGGUCCAGACUCCUACGGGAGGCAGCAGUAGGGAAUCUUCCGCAAUGGGCGAAAGCCUGACGGAGCAACGCCGCGUGAGUGAUGAAGGUCUUCGGAUCGUAAAACUCUGUUAUUAGGGAAGCGGUAUCUAAUCAGAAAGCCACGGCUAACUACGUGCCAGCCGCCGCGGUAAUUC